GAUGAACGCUGGCGGCGUGCCUAAUACAUGCAAGUCGAGCGAACAGACGAGGAGCUUGCUCCUCUGACGUUAGCGGCGGACGGGUGAGUAACACGUGGAUAACCUACCUAUAAGACUGGGAUAACUUCGGGAAACCGGAGCUAAUACCGGAUAAUAUAUUGAACCGCAUGGUUCAAUAGUGAAAGACGGUUUUGCUGUCACUUAUAGAUGGAUCCGCGCCGCAUUAGCUAGUUGGUAAGGUAACGGCUUACCAGGGCAACGAUGCGUAGCCGACCUGAGAGGGUGAUCGGCCACACUGGAACUGAGACACGGUCCAGACUCCUACGGGAGGCAGCAGUAGGGAAUCUUCCGCAAUGGGCGAAAGCUUGACGGAGCAACGCCGCGUGAGUGAUGAAGGUCUUCGGAUCGUAAAACUCUGUUAUUAGGGAAGAACAAAUGUGUAAGUAACGAUGCACGUCUUGACGGUACCUAAUCAGAAAGCCACGGCUAACUACGUG
rnacentral:rRNA from 1 species